rnacentral:rRNA from 2 species
GUAAACGAUGAAUGCUAAGUGUUGGAGGGUUUCCGCCCUUCAGUGCUGCAGCUAACGCAUUAAGCAUUCCGCCUGGGGAGUACGGCCGCAAGGCUGAAACUCAAAGGAAUUGACGGGGGCCCGCACAAGCGGUGGAGCAUGUGGUUUAAUUCGAAGCUACGCGAAGAACCUUACCAGGUCUUGACAUACUAUGCAAAUCUAAGAGAUUAGACGUUCCCUUCGGGGACAUGGAUACAGGUGGUGCAUGGUUGUCGUCAGCUCGUGUCGUGAGAUGUUGGGUUAAGUCCCGCAACGAGCGCAACCCUUAUUAUCAGUUGCCAGCAUUAAGUUGGGCACUCUGGUGAGACUGCCGGUGACAAACCGGAGGAAGGUGGGGAUGACGUCAAAUCAUCAUGCCCCUUAUGACCUGGGCUACACACGUGCUACAAUGGAUGGUACAACGAGUUGCGAACUCGCGAGAGUAAGCUAAUCUCUUAAAGCCAUUCUCAGUUCGGAUUGUAGGCUGCAACUCGCCUACAUGAAGUCGGAAUCGCUAGUAAUCGCGGAUCAGCAUGCCGCGGUGAAUACGUUCCCGGGCCUUGUACACACCGCCCGUCACACCAUGAGAGUUUGUAACACCCAAAGUCGGUGGGGUAACCUUUUAGGAACCAGCCG